rnacentral:misc_RNA from 1 species
UCAGUUCCUACUGAUGAAUCUGAAAAGUUGCAGUCAAGCAAGUCAUCGAGCAAACCAGCUGUUACUUCAUCUGUUAUCAGUAACCAAAAUGAGUCUUCCAAUAGAAAGGUAGUUAGAGAAGAAACAAGCUCUGUUGAUGAGAUAAGAAGGAUAUCAAAUAGUGUAGAUCAUUAUGAAGCACUAGGAUUUCCUCGUCAUAAACGAAUUGAUACUACAAUUUUGAGAAGGGAAUAUCGGAAGAAGGCCAUGCUUGUUCAUCCUGAUAAAAAUAUGGGAAGUCCUUUGGCGAGCGAGUCAUUUAAGAAACUUCAUUGCGCUUAUGAGGUUCUUUCUGAUUCAUUUAAAAAGAGGGACUACGAUGAGCAAUUGAGGAAGGAAGAAUCAAAGACUAGGGGUG